GACGAACGCUGGCGGCGUGCUUAACACAUGCAAGUCGAACGGAAAGGCCCUGCUUUUGUGGGGUGCUCGAGUGGCGAACGGGUGAGUAACACGUGAGUAACCUGCCCUUGACUUUGGGAUAACUUCAGGAAACUGGGGCUAAUACCGGAUAGGAGCUCCUGCUGCAUGGUGGGGGUUGGAAAGUUUCGGCGGUUGGGGAUGGACUCGCGGCUUAUCAGCUUGUUGGUGGGGUAGUGGCUUACCAAGGCUUUGACGGGUAGCCGGCCUGAGAGGGUGACCGGCGACAUUGGGCCUGCGAUACGGCCCAGACUCCUACGGGAGGCAGCAGUGGGGAAUAUUGCACAAUGGGCGGAAGCCUGAUGCAGCAACGCCGCGUGCGGGAUGACGGCCUUCGGGUUGUAAACCGCUUUCGCCUGUGACGAAGCGUGAGUGACGGUAAUGGGUAAAGAAGCACCGGCUAACUACGUG
rnacentral:rRNA from 1 species